rnacentral:rRNA from 1 species
UCGGGAAUUUUGGGCAAUGGGCGCAAGCCUGAUCCAGCCAUGCCGCGUGCAGGAUGACGGUCCUAUGGAUUGUAAACUGCUUUUGUACAGGAAGAAACAGUUCUACGUGUAGAACCUUGACGGUACUGUAAGAAUAAGGAUCGGCUAACUCCGUGCCAGCAGCCGCGGUAAUACGGAGGAUCCAAGCGUUAUCCGGAAUCAUUGGGUUUAAAGGGUCCGUAGGCGGUUAGAUAAGUCAGUGGUGAAAGCCCAUCGCUCAACGGUGGAACGGCCAUUGAUACUGUCUGACUUGAAUUAUUAGGAAGUAACUAGAAUAUGUAGUGUAGCGGUGAAAUGCUUAGAGAUUACAUGGAAUACCAAUUGCGAAGGCAGGUUACUACUAAUGGAUUGACGCUGAUGGACGAAAGCGUGGGUAGCGAACAGGAUUAGAUACCCGCGUAGUCCCUGAGCGGGCUGGCAAGGCGCAU